UGCAGUCGAGCGGUAACAGGGGGAAGCUUGCUCCCCGCUGACGAGCGGCGGACGGGUGAGUAAUGCAUAGGAAACUGCCCAGUAGUGGGGGAUAGCCCGGGGAAACCCGGAUUAAUACCGCAUACGCCCUUUGGGGGAAAGCAGGGGAUCUUCGGACCUUGCGCUAUUGGAUGUGCCUAUGUCGGAUUAGCUAGUUGGUGGGGUAAGAGCCUACCAAGGCGACGAUCCGUAGCUGGUCUGAGAGGAUGAUCAGCCACAUCGGGACUGAGACACGGCCCGAACUCCUACGGGAGGCAGCAGUGGGGAAUAUUGGACAAUGGGGGCAACCCUGAUCCAGCCAUGCCGCGUGUGUGAAGAAGGCUUUCGGGUUGUAAAGCACUUUCAGUGAGGAGGAAAACCUUACGACUAAUACUCGUGAGGCUUGACGUUACUCACAGAAGAAGCACCGGCUAACUCCGUGCCAGCAGCCGCGGUAAUACGGAGGGUGCAAGCGUUAAUCGGAAUUACUGGGCGUAAGCGCGCGUAGGUGGUUUGAUAAGCGAGAUGUGAAAGCCCCGGGCUCAACCUGGGAACGGCAUUUCGAACUGUCAGGCUAGAGUAUGGUAGAGGAGUGUGGAAUUUCCUGUGUAGCGGUGAAAUGCGUAGAUAUAUGAAGGGAACACCAGUGGCGAAGGCGGCACUCUGGACCAAUACUGACACUGAGGUGCGAAAGCGUGGG
rnacentral:rRNA from 1 species